AGAAAAAGCUACUUUGGUCCGGUGUUCAGGCUCUCAGGCAGUGGUGUCAAGAUGUGGAUGAUAGUGACUUAGUGAGGUUUUUAGUGAGUUUGGUCGUAGAGGGACGAAGAAUUAUUUUAAUUGGUGUGCUGUAUAUCGUAUGCAAUUCAUCUGAAGUUUCUUAGUGUGUUCAUCAAGUCCAGAAGCCUAGAAUUUUUAUUCGCAUUUUGUGUCUCCCUCGUUUGCAUUUUGUACGUAAUUUUAACUAAUCAUUACGUUAUUUUCUUGAAUCGUGACAUCCGUAGCUUUGUUACAACACAGUUUGUAAAGGCUACUGAAGUGAGAUGUUGUAUAAACUAUCUACGAUAGAUGGUGUACAAUAUAAGAUUGUAUUGUAACUUAGCUGAUCCGUGAUUAGAAUAAAUGACUAUGUAACAUUUUCUCGAUUCCUUAUGCAACUUCUUUGUGUGUGACCGCCCCGCAUAAAUAACAUGUGUGAUACUAUUAGUUGAAUUUCGUGUCGCUUAUUUGUAAUGAUCGUGUGGAAAUCAUACUGUGAUGUUUCUCUUGUUCAGAGAUCCUGGACAUUGCAAAUAGCGAGUGUUGUCUAUUCCAAAAUACCCGUACAAAUUUUUGAGCAAUUUAUUUUGAUUGUAUUACGAUAGUAAAUUCUAUGUCAUUAUCAGAUGAUCCAAGGGUGAAUAAAUAAAUAUUUAGAAUGCAA